rnacentral:siRNA from 1 species
CGCUUCGGCGGGUCGAUCCGGGC